UUUAUGCAUAGAAUAUUAUGUUACAUACAUAACAUACUAUUACAAAUAAUACUUGUCAUUUUCAUAAUUGUUAUCCGAUGGAAGCAAAAAUGUCAAAUUAUUAUUUAUGUUCACUUUCUUUGUAUACAUAUAAUUAUGGAAGUGAACAUUUGGAUAUGAGUAUGAUUUAUUAUUUACCAUUAUACACCCCAGUACAAUAUCAACAUUAUUACUACUUACAAAUGCAAAAAUAAGGAAAGAGGAGAAAAUAGACGUUCUUAAAUGGAAACACUCAACUUCUUCUUCCAUGAUAAGAAUUUCUUUUAAUAAUAAAUAAAUAAAUGUAUUGAUAUAAACCUAUAUUAAGAAUAACUACAUUAUUUUUAGAGUAAUCCCUUCAAUUCGCUUAUUAUACAUUUAUUUUAUUGAUGAUUUCUAAUGAUUGAGGAAAAUAAAAGUUUGGAAUUAUA
rnacentral:lncRNA from 1 species